rnacentral:rRNA from 1 species
GACGAACGCUGGCGGCGUGCUUAACACAUGCAAGUCGAACGGAAAGGCCCUGCUUUUGUGGGGUGCUCGAGUGGCGAACGGGUGAGUAACACGUGAGUAACCUGCCCUUGACUUUGGGAUAACUUCAGGAAACUGGGGCUAAUACCGGAUAGGAGCUCCUGCUGCAUGGUGGGGGUUGGAAAGUUUCGGCGGUUGGGGAUGGACUCGCGGCUUAUCAGCUUGUUGGUGGGGUAGUGGCUUACCAAGGCUUUGACGGGUAGCCGGCCUGAGAGGGUGACCGGCGUAGUGGGGACGGAGGGAGGGCCGGGAGUCCGACGGGGGGCGGCAGGGGGGGAGGGGGCACAAGGGGCGGAGGCCGGAUGCAGCAACGCCGAGGGAGGGAGGACGGCCGACGGGGUGGAAACCGCUUGCGCCGGUGACGAAGCGGGAGGGACGGGAAGGGGGAAAGAAGCACCGACGAACUACGGG